GAUAAUCAUAUACAUUUUGGUGAUGGUGAUAAAUUAAGACACGAUCGCAAAAUUCACGAAGAGGAGAAGCUGAAUUUGGCGAAUAAAAUUCAGUUAGACAUGCACGAGAAUAGGCAACAGCGAGAAGAUACUGGGCGUGAGUCUGCCAAAAAGGACGAUACGCUACGGUACAAACGGAAGCAGUCUUUGCCAGAGAGGCCUUACGUGGACCCGAAUGCACCAGGUGAGGGUGGCAAGGCGGUGGUGAUAGACAAGGACAAGCUGUCUCCAGAGGAGAAGAAGAAGUUUGACGACGGCUGGCAGAAGAAUGCGUUUAACCAGUACGCUAGCGACAUGAUCUCGCUGCACCGCUCCCUACCCGACGUCCGCGACCCAGAAUGUAAGGACUUGAAGUACAAAGACAAUCUGCCGGACACGAGCGUGGUGGUGUGUUUCCAUAACGAGGCUUGGUCCGUUCUUCUGCGUACAGUACACAGCAUCAUUGACCGAUCCCCUCCCCACCUGCUGAAGGAAAUCAUUUUGGUUGAUGACUUCUCAGACAUGGACCACCUAAAGCAACCAUUGGAAGAGUACGCAGCCAAGCUUCAAAAGGUCAAGGUCGUGAGAACGAAGAAAAGGGAGGGGCUGAUCCGGGCGCGUCUCCUUGGUUACUCCGUGGCAACAGGAGAGGUGCUGACAUAUCUGGACUCACACUGCGAAUGCGCUGAAGGUUGGCUCGAACCUCUCCUAGAUCGAAUUGCAGAAAACAAAUCCAUUGUCGUUUGUCCCGUAAUCGAUGUAAUCGAAGACGACUCCUUCAAAUAUCAGUAUGGCAAUGCCAGAGCCACAAGUAUCGGGGGUUUUGAUUGGAACAUGCAGUUUAACUGGCAUGCGAUCCCCGAAUACGAACGCAAGCGCAGAAGUUUCAAAGAUUACCUCCCUGUCAGGUCGCCCACGAUGGCCGGAGGUCUUUUCUCCAUCAGUAGAGAAUAUUUUACGGAACUUGGUACCUACGACCCUGGAAUGGAUAUCUGGGGAGGAGAAAACUUAGAACUGUCAUUUAGAGUCUGGAUGUGUGGUGGUACCUUAGAAAUCAUUCCAUGCUCUCAUGUUGGUCACAUCUUCAGAAAGAGAAGUCCGUACAAGUGGAGGACUGGUGUCAAUGUUGUCAAGAAAAACUCAAUCCGAUUGGCCGAAGUUUGGAUGGAUGAAUACAAGAACUAUUAUUAUGAAAGAUUCAACUAUGAUCUGGGAGAUUACGGAGAUGUCACCGACAGAAAGAAGCUCCGGGAACGUUUGCAGUGCCAUAGCUUCGACUGGUUCGUCAAAAAUGUCUACCCAGACCUGUUUGUUCCAGGGGAAGCCAUUGCUUCUGGAGAGAUCCGCAGCAAGGCCAAGCCGAUGUGUAUCGACAGUGCGGUGGAUAACCACAACUACCACAAACCGGUCAACAUGUGGCCUUGUCACAACCAGGGGGGCAACCAGUAUUGGAUGUUGAGUAAGAACGGAGAAAUCCGUCGAGACGAUGGAUGCCUGGAUUAUUCUGGAGGAGAGAGCGUCAUUGUUUAUCCGUGCCACGGCCAGAAAGGAAACCAGGAGUGGCAAUACAGAGAGGACAACUCCAUUUACCAUGCCAACACACAGAAGUGCAUGGAGACCAGCGUGGACGGUCAGAAGCUGACCAUGAAGACAUGCACAGGGAUAGACAGACAGAUCUGGACCUGGAAGAGGAAGUCACCUAGUGGGAUAAUCAGGAACAACUAAGGGGCAGACAACUACUGCUGCUGUGGUGUGAAGGGUUCUCUCCCUUUGGAGAGAGAAAUAUUCACCCACCAAAAAAAAAUGUUCAACUGCCAAACCCCAAUAUUUGGGAUAACAGUUUAACAUCAUACUGCUUAAAAAACACGUGUGAUAAACUUGAUAGUAUAUUUG
rnacentral:misc_RNA from 1 species